rnacentral:rRNA from 1 species
UACGAAGGGGGCUAGCGUUGUUCGGAUUUACUGGGCGUAAAGCGCACGUAGGCGGUUUGUUAAGUCAGGGGGUGAAAUCCCGGAGCUCAACUCCGGAACUGCCUUUGAUACUGGCAAGCUAGAGUCCGGAAGAGGUAAGUGGAACUCCUAGUGUAGAGGUGGAAUUCGUAGAUAUUAGGAAGAACACCAGUGGCGAAGGCGGCUUACUGGUCCGGAACUGACGCUGAGGUGCGAAAGCGUGGGGAGCAAACAGG